GAGAGAGAGAGAGAGAGAGAGGGCCAUAGCUUUAUGGGAGAGAUUCACCAGCACAGAUCAGGAGCAAAAAAGAGAAAGAGACAAUGAACCCAAGACCCUUUUAUAACAUCAGAGUUGUUUACAUUCAAAAUCUGAGUAGUUGACCAAUAGCAUUACUGUAAAAUGAACCUUGAAUCAGAUAUCAGACCUGAAAAGACAACAGAACCUUUGCUCGAUUGGCAUAGUGUUUGAAUGGUAGUUUGUAUGGUUGUGUUGUGUUAAGGUCCAUAGUUCCUGGAGAGAAUGCAGCUGGACCACCUCAGCAGAGCGGUGUGAUUGGCAGCUGGACCACCUCAGCAGAGCGGUGUGAUUGGCAGCUGGACCACCUCAGCAGAGCGGUGUGAUUGGCAGCUGGACCACCUCAGCAGAGCGGUGUGAUUGGCAGCUGGACCACCUCAGCAGAGCGGUGUGAUUGGCAGCUGGACCACCUCAGCAGAGCGGUGUGAUUGGCAGCUGGACCACCUCAGCAGAGCGGUGUGAUUGGCAGCUGUGGUUUUGACUCCAUCCCAGCUGACAUGAGCAUCACCAGCGACCAGUUUAAAAAGGGAGGCUGUGACAUGGAAGUAAGCCAUCUACAGCUUUGCAGAGAGCGGCUCCCUGAGAAAGCUGAGGAAGAAAUUUGACCACCAACCUCUCCCCAUUGUAGGAGCCAAAGUCAAGAAGAGGGCUAGCCUGUUCUUCAGUAAGCAGAUUGUCCAGCAUGCCAUAUCCUUCAUUGGCUCAGACCCAUGGGUGGUCAGGAGAUUCCAGCGCUUCCUGUAUGAGGAGGAGUCAACGUUAAGAUGUAACACAACAACAAACCUUGACCCUCUGGACCUGACCGUGUCUGCCUGCAUUCAAUUACUCAAUAAUGCUACAUUGUUGUCUUGCUGAUGAGUAGCUGUUUUGACCAUUUUUACCAAAGCAGAAAUGGACUGGUAACGUGGCUACCCCUUCUUUAGCCAGUAUUUUAUCCAUCAUGGCUACCCAACCUACUCAAUACCAAGCCCACUGUUCAAGCCCAUCUACUGUUCCGUACUGUACCCACCUGUACCAUGUAGGUGGUCCUCUGUAGCUCAGUUGGUCCAGUAUGGUGCUUGCAGCGCCAGGUUAGUGUGUUUGAUUCCCGGGACCACCUAGUAUCUCAAAUGUAUGCACGCAUGACUGGAAUUCAUGCGCUAAAAGUGUGUAUUAUAUUAUAGGUAGAACGCCUGCCAUGUCCAUAGUCUACCUCAGUAUCUUCAACUCUCUCCCCUUCCCUGCUUUCACUACAGCUAAUUAGGUCAAGCAACAGCGACUGUCCACAUAUUUUUUAAAUUACUAGCUUCUGAUGAAUCUACUGUUUCUGGUGAAGCCUCAUUUACUCACAAACAUCCAAUGUGGAAAGAAAAACGAUUGUAAACAACCCGUGUCUUUCUUCAUGUGGAGAGAGCUAGAUGAUAAUGAGUCAUACAUCAGUCUCAGGUGAUUCAUCAUAUUUCUCUCCUCAUUAUGUCUGUGGAGUGUCUCAACACUGGUUCUGGACAACAAUGCUGCACUAAUAUAAUGCCUGUGAUGUGUCCUACCUUUACUGUACCUUUCACCUGGCAUCAGUAGCUUACAGGAACAUACACGUGUUAAAUGUUAUUCAUAUAUAUUUUCUCUCUCUCUAUCGCUCCCUCUCUCCCUCUCCCUCUCUCUCCCCUUCUCCCUCGCCCUCGCCCUCUCCCACUCCUCUCGCUCCCAUCC